GGACUACAGGGGUUUCUAAUCCUGUUUGCUCCCCACGCUUUCGAGUCUCAGCGUCAGUAUUCGUCCAGUUGGCCGCCUUCGCCACCGGUGUUCCUCUCGAUAUCUACGAAUUUCACCUCUACACCGAGAAUUCCACCAACCUCUCCGAUACUCUAGCCUGCCAGUUUCGAGUGCACUUCCCGGGUUGAGCCCGGGGCUUUCACACCCGACUUAGCAGACCGCCUACACUCGCUUUACGCCCAGUAAUUCCGAACAACGUUUGCACCCUCUGUCUUACCGCGGCUGCUGGCAC
rnacentral:rRNA from 1 species